AUCCAACUGACGAGUCUCAAAUGGGACGAAACGCGCGUCCUGGAU
rnacentral:hammerhead_ribozyme from 1 species